rnacentral:rRNA from 1 species
CCUACGGGUGGCAGCAGUGGGGAAUAUUGGACAAUGGGCGAAAGCCUGAUCCAGCCAUGCCGCGUGUGUGAAGAAGGCCUUCGGGUUGUAAAGCACUUUCAGUGGGGAAGAAAGCCUUGGGGCUAAUACCCUCGAGGAAGGACAUCACCCACAGAAGAAGCACCUGCUAACUCCGUGCCAGCAGCCGCGGUAAUACGGAGGGUGCGAGCGUUAAUCGGAAUUACUGGGCGUAAAGCGCGCGUAGGCGGUCUGAUAAGCCGGUUGUGAAAGCCCCGGGCUCAACCUGGGAACGGCAUCCGGAACUGUCAGGCUAGAGUGCAGGAGAGGAAGGUAGAAUUCCCGGUGUAGCGGUGAAAUGCGUAGAGAUCGGGAGGAAUACCAGUGGCGAAGGCGGCCUUCUGGACUGACACUGACGCUGAGGUGCGAAAGCGUGGGUAGCAAACAGGAUUUGAUACCCGAGUAGUC